UACGGAGGAUGCGAGCGUUAUCCGGAUUUAUUGGGUUUAAAGGGUGCGUAGGCGGGAUGCCAAGUCAGCGGUAAAAAUGCGGUGCUCAACGCCGUCGAGCCGUUGAAACUGGCGUUCUUGAGUGGGCGAGAAGUAUGCGGAAUGCGUGGUGUAGCGGUGAAAUGCAUAGAUAUCACGCAGAACUCCGAUUGCGAAGGCAGCAUACCGGCGCCCUACUGGCGCUGAGGCACGAAAGCGUGGGUAUCGAACAGG
rnacentral:rRNA from 1 species